rnacentral:misc_RNA from 1 species
GAAUUUUUCAGUCUGCCUUUGGACUAUUCAGGUUAGGUUUCCUAGUGGAUUUUCUAUCCCAUGCUGCAAUUGUUGGGUUCAUGGCAGGUGCAGCCAUUGUUAUUGGCCUUCAACAACUGAAGGGGCUGCUUGCAAUUACUCACUUCACGAACAAGACUGAUGUCAUCUCCGUCCUGAAAGCUACUUGGAUAUCUGUUCAUCAUUCUUGGAAUCCUCAUAAUUUUAUCCUCGGAUGCUCAUUCUUAAGCUUUAUUCUUAGCGCAAGAUUUGUGGGUAAAAGGAACAAGAAACUCUUCUGGCUGCCUGCAAUUGCUCCUCUGGUUUCUGUUGCUCUAUCAACUCUGAUCGUUUUCCUGACAAGAGCAGACAAGCAUGGAGUAAAGAUUAUAAAACACAUCCAAAGGGGCUUAAACCCAAGCUCAGUCCAUCAGUUGCAGUUCAACGACCCACAUAUUGGACAAGUAGCUAAAAUUGGACUUAUAGUUGCUGUUGUUGCUCUUACGGAGGCAACUGCAGUAGGCAGGUCUUUUGCAUCCAUUAAAGGAUACCAUAUAGAUGGAAACAAAGAAAUGGUUGCCAUGGGAAUCAUGAACAUUGCAGGAUCUUUCUCUUCCUGCUAUGUUGCAACUGGCUCGUUCUCUCGCAGUGCUGUGAAUUUCAGUGCUGGUUGUGAAACUGCAGUGUCAAAUAUUGUGAUGUCUAUCACAGUGAUCAUCUGUUUGGAAUUUUUCACAAGGCUUUUGUACUUUACCCCAAUUGCAAUCCUUGCGUCAAUCAUUAUUUCUGCCCUACCAGGACUCAUUGACCUCAAUGAAAUCUACAAUAUUUGGAAGGUUGAUAAGCUGGAUUUCCUUGCCUGCACUGGGGCCUUUUUUGGUGUCUUAUUUGCAUCGGUGGAGAUUGGGCUACUAGCUGCGGUGACAAUAUCGUUUGUGAAGAUCAUCAUCAUCUCAAUUCGACCAGGUACAGAAAUUCUUGGAAGACUUCCUGGAACUGAUACGUUCUGCGAUGUAGACCAAUAUCCUAUGGCUAUUAAGACUCCUCCUGCGCUUAUAAUCCGUGUCAAGUCUGGCUUCCUUUGUUUUGCAAAUGCCAACUUCGUCAAAGAAAAUAUCAUGAAAUGGGCCACUGAAGGAGACGAAAAGGACACAAAAGGAAACGGGAAAAAGACUUUCCAACUCGUGAUUCUUGAUAUGUCCAAUUUGACGAACGUUGAUAUAGCAGGAAUUGCUUGCCUUGAAGAACUGCGUAAGAAUCUUGUCUCAAAUGGAAUAGAGUUAGCCAUCACUAACCCAAGGUGGCAAGUGAUACACAAGCUAAAAUUAGCCAACUUCGUGGGGAAACUUGGAGAAAGGGUCUACUUGAGUGUUGGAGAAGCAGUGGAUGCAUGUCUGAAUCCUAAAAUGGCUGCCAUUUAAAUGGAAAUCAAGCUUAUAUAUGUCUGUUGUCUUGCUUGGUGUGUAGUCCCUUGUGUCUGUAUAAAUGGGACAUGUAAUAAAACGUGCUUUUUAACCCUCUCUAAUCUUAGGACUCGCUCGCAGAAAGUCCGAGAGGGAAAGGCCAUCCAUCAGUUGUAUUGCCAUAACAUAUGCAAUGUAAAACUGCA